rnacentral:rRNA from 1 species
GGCUCAGAACGAACGCUGCGGCAGGCUUAACACAUGCAAGUCGAACGCCCCGCAAGGGGAGUGGCAGACGGGUGAGUAACACGUGGGAACAUGCCCAAAGGUACGGAAUAUUCUCGGGAAACUGGGAGCAAUACCGUAUGUGCCCGAAAGGGGAAAGAUUUAUCGCCUUUGGAUUGGCCCGCGUUGGAUUAGCUAGUUGGUGGGGUAAAAGCCUACCAAGGCGACGAUCCAUAGCUGGUCUGAGAGGACGACCAGCCACACUGGGACUGAGACACGGCCCAGACUCCUACGGGAGGCAGCAGUGGGGAAUCUUGGACAAUGGGCGCAAGCCUGAUCCAGCCAUGCCGCGUGAGUGAUGAAGGCCCUAGGGUUGUAAAACUCUUUCGUGGGGGACGAUAAUGACGGACCCCAAGAAGAAGUCCGGCAA